rnacentral:rRNA from 1 species
CCUGGCUCAGAUUGAACGCUGGCGGCAUGCUUAACACGUGCAAGUCGAACGGCAGCAUGGUCUAGCUUGCUAGACUGAUGGCGAGUGGCGAACGGGUGAGUAAUACGUAGGAAUAUGCCUUAAAGAGGGGGAUAACUUGGGGAAACUCAAGCUAAUACCGCGUAAGCUCCACGGAGGAAAGCUGGGGACUGGCAACAGCCUGGCGCUUUAAGAUUAGCCU